rnacentral:rRNA from 1 species
AUUGAACGCUGGCGGCAUGCCUUACACAUGCAAGUCGAACGGCAGCGCGGACUUCGGUCUGGCGGCGAGUGGCGAACGGGUGAGUAAUACAUCGGAACGUACCCUGUUGUGGGGGAUAACUAGUCGAAAGAUUAGCUAAUACCGCAUACGACCUGAGGGUGAAAGUGGGGGAUCGCAAGGCCUCGCGCAGCAGGAGCGGCCGAUGUCUGAUUAGCUAGUUGGUGGGGUAAAGGCCCACCAAGGCGACGAUCAGUAGCUGGUCUGAGAGGACGAUCAGCCACACUGGGACUGAGACACGGCCCAGACUCCUACGGGAGGCAGCAGUGGGGAAUUUUGGACAAUGGGGGCAACCCUGAUCCAGCAAUGCCGCGUGUGUGAAGAAGGCCUUCGGGUUGUAAAGCACUUUUGUCCGGAAAGAAAUCGCGCUGGUUAAUACCUGGCGUGGAUGACGGUACCGGAAGAAUAAGCACCGGCUAACUACGUG